GAAGCACAACCAGCCCAGACCCCAUUUCCCACUCACGCACUGGGCCACAUGACAGCACCCACAGGUGGUGAGUCAGACUGCCCUGGGAACCUCUCACAGCAAGCUGGGGGCUUGGCAUGAGGGCCCACAGGGGAGAGAAGAGGCACCACUGAGGAUGGCACUGGUUCUGAGCCAUGCCUUCCAAGGGGAAUGAGGGCAAGCAGGUGGGGAUAAAGUCUGGCAAGGCUUUCUAAGGAAGUCAUGAGAUGGACGUGAAGAACAGAAAUGGUGCCACCCUGGGCCUGAAGGCUCUGAGUCACUUACUGGACCCUGAGGAGAAGAGUGAGAACUAACAUCCUAGAAGGAUCCUCAACUGAAGGAGUAUGACUCUAGAGGAUAGAGACAACCUUGGAGAAGCCAGACCUCACUGUGGAUAAAGUGCUCCUUGGUUUCCAGGUAAAGGAUGUGGAGGGGAGAGAGGAGACACAUCCAAAUGCAACUCCUGUAGUUUUUACUUUUUGCAUGGUGCUCCCAUGUGGUGGCUGGAGGCUGACACAUCAUGAUCCAUGAGUGGACAUAUCAUCAUCACCACCAUCACAGAGCACUUGUGGCCUUCAGAAGCACCAUCUUAUUCAACCCUAAAUACUUUAGUAAGAAAGAUAAGUUAACAUCUCCAUAGCCCUGGAGGUGGGACAAUAAAGUGUUAGAUUCUCAA